UCGGGAAUAUUGGACAAUGGGGGAAACCCUGAUCCAGCAACGCCGCGUGAAGGAUGAAGGUCUUCGGAUUGUAAACUUCUGUUCUAAGGGAAGAAACAAAUGACGGUACCUUAGGAGCAAGCCCCGGCUAACUACGUGCCAGCAGCCGCGGUGAUACGUAGGGGGCAAGCGUUGUCCGGAAUGACUGGGCGUAAAGGGUGUGUAGGCGGUUUGUUAAGUAAAAUGUGAAAGCCCGGGGCUUAACUCCGGAACUGCAUUUUAAACUGGCAGACUUGAGUGUGGGAGAGGCAAGUGGAAUUCCUAGUGUAGCGGUGGAAUGCGUAGAUAUUAGGAAGAACAUCAGAGGCGAAGGCGACUUGCUGGAACAUAACUGACGCUGAGGCACGAAAGCGUGGGGAGCAAACAGG
rnacentral:rRNA from 1 species